rnacentral:rRNA from 1 species
GUGGAUUAGAUACCCUGGUAGUCCACGCCGUAAACGAUGAGAACUAAGUGUUGGGGAGACUCAGUGCUGCAGUUAACGCAAUAAGUUCUCCGCCUGGGGAGUAUGCACGCAAGUGUGAAACUCAAAGGAAUUGACGGGGGCCCGCACAAGCGGUGGAGUAUGUGGUUUAAUUCGACGCAACGCGAAGAACCUUACCAGGCCUUGACAUGGGGAUAAAUGUCCUAGAGAUAGGAAGAUAGGUAUAUCCCACACAGGUGGUGCACGGUCGUCGCCAACU